GAGAACCAUACUGCAGUACCAUGAAAAAGUUUUGGAAAAGGAACUGCAGCCGUUGAAGGAGUGCAAUGAACCUGAUUUCUGCCUUUGCUGCUUUCCAAAAUAAUAAAUGUAUAAAAGUUGAACACAAGUGGUUAUUUUCCGAAGAUACAGAGUGCUAGCAAUAAUAAUAACAGUUCUUGACAUAGCGCCUUUAGUGUCGGGAAUCUUUCACAAACACUGAUUAGACUUGAAAUGGCCAAUGUGCCUGGAAGAGAGCUCUAAUCAUCUACAGAGGAUGCAUCAGCAUCAGCCAUCCAAGAGGGCGGGCUCCUCACGGCACCUCCCCGUGAGCCUGGGGCUGGCUCCGCACGGGGCCCCGGGGCUCCCGCGCCGGCCGGCCGCCGGGGCUUUCUGCCUGCAGCCGUUUGCUCUCUGCCCUGGAAGGCUCCGAGAUAUCUGCUGCCGCCUUGUUAGCGAUUAAGAUGUGCAAGUGACAAAUGGACAUUUUACAUCUCCUUCCUCUGACCCUUGCUCCUGGUAGCCACGUUACUGAACAUCCUGAUCCCCGUCUUCUCCUUGCUAAAAUAAAUGAAUUGGCGGGACACA
rnacentral:lncRNA from 1 species